AUUAUCCGCACGCAACGGGGAUUCAAGCAAGAUGGUAGGUAGCAGCUGCCAAUCGUGCUGGGAACGCCUCUGAGAGAAUGACCAAAACGCAGCCACACUGGGAGUCUACCUGAGUCACAGAUACACCAAAAAAUAAUCGAAAAUUGCCAGGUGUCUUCUUCGACACAAUCGAAAGACACAUCACUUUCUCUCUUCGAAGGCGUUAAAAGCCAGCCAACAUCAAAUGCAAACGCGAGGGGGGACAUGCAGGAAGUCCUACGUAUAUGAUGUAGAAUGGGAUGAAAAGACUGGCAGCGACAUUCGCUGAAUUUCAACAUUUGCCAAGCGCGAACAAUUCACAAAUUGAAGGUGUAUAUGUGAUGCAGUAUUAUGUGAUGUUCUGCUCCAAGCAUAACUGUCAAGUCUUUGACUGUGGUUCGAAUCGUGACCUACGAUUCAGAGUGCUGUAACAACCUUUCCUCUGUUCCCGUCCCUUACACCCUGCUUACGGGACCUGAUAACGACAGCUUCUUCGGGAACCCUUGCACCUUUUGCGGCAAUUUAGAGACACCUUGUGCACUUCGAUCCGUGUGACACCUUCAUUUCUCCUUCGCUGGCCCUGUGGUUCGUGCAGGUUUCACCUUCUGCCUCUCUCUCCGUCUGCUGCUUCCAGCCCCAUUUAAAGUGUUCGUGUCUCUCCAAAACCGUGGUGCUAUUUGUUCUCCUGAUGGAUUCGGGUUUUACCUCAGGGCGCAACUUUUCGUCUUUCAUCUGCAUCUCCGGCAUGCUUUGUCGCCUUCCGAUAUCAUAAAUUCCGCCGGCCCUCCCGUAUACGGUGCGCAUCUGUUAGCUGUCUCACUCUGCGCACGCAAUGGUGUGUUCCAUGUAAUCCCUAUGGGAGACUCAUAUCUUUGUCUCACCAUCGUUGUCAUAUGCUGGUUGCGUGCUCAUAUGGCUUCUUCGUCAGUCCACCGAUAUAUGUC
rnacentral:lncRNA from 1 species